rnacentral:rRNA from 1 species
GACGAACGCUGGCGGCGUGCUUAACACAUGCAAGUCGAACGGAAAGGCCCUGCCUUUGUGGGGUGCUCGAGUGGCGAACGGGUGAGUAACACGUGAGUAACCUGCCCUUGACUUUGGGAUAACUUCAGGAAACUGGGGCUAAUACCGGAUAGGAGCUCCUGCUACAUGGUGGGGGUUGGAAAGUUUCGGCGGUUGGGGAUGGACUCGCGGCUUAUCAGCUUGUUGGUGGGGUAGUGGCUUACCAAGGCUUUGACGGGUAGCCGGCCUGAGAGGGUGACCAGCCACAUUGGGACUGAGAUACGGCCCAGACUGCAACGGGAGGCAGCAGUGGGGAAUAUUGCACAAUGGGGGGAAGCCUGAUGCAGCAACGCCGCGUGCGGGAUGACGGCCUUCGGGUUGUAAACCGCUUUAGCCUGAGACGAAGCGUGAGUGACGGUAAUGGGUAAAGAAGCACCGGCUAACUACGUG